AACGGUCUAUACCUGCGGUACCUGCGGAGGGAUCAUUAUUGAGUGUUAACCUACACCCCGUAAAAAAGGGUGUGGUACCUCCUGUCCUUUGCAGGCCCCUUUUAUUGGGGGCUUUUUUAAGACUUUCUGCUUCGGCGGGGUAACUCCCGCCGGAACACCCUCAAAAAAAUCUUGAAUUUAAAAAACCGUUCAGUCCGAGAAAUUUUUUAAAAAUUAAAAAAAACUUUUAACAACGGAUCU
rnacentral:misc_RNA from 1 species